rnacentral:rRNA from 1 species
GAUGAACGCUAGCUACAGGCUUAACACAUGCAAGUCGAGGGGCAGCGCAGUGUAGCAAUACAUGGGCGGCGACCGGCGCACGGGUGCGUAACGCGUAUCCAACCUUCCCGUUACUCAGGGAUAGCCUUCCGAAAGGGAGAUUAAUACCUGAUGGUGUUUGAAUUCCGCAUGUUAUUCAAACUAAAGAUUUAUCGGUAACGGAUGGGGAUGCGUGACAUUAGGUAGAUGGCGGGGUAACGGCCCACCAUGCCUACGAUGUCUAGGGGUUCUGAGAGGAAGGUCCCCCCACACUGGAACUGAGACACGGUCCAGACUCCUACGGGAGGCAGCAGUGAGGAAUAUUGGUCAAUGGUCGAGAGACUGAACCAGCCAAGUCGCGUGAGGGAAGACUGCCCUAUGGGUUGUAAACCUCUUUAGUCGGGAGCAAAAAAGCGGACGUGUCCGCCAUUGAGCGUACCCGAAGAAUAAGCAUCGGCUAACUCCGUG